rnacentral:rRNA from 2 species
CAACUUUCAACAAUGGAUCUCUUGGCUCUGGCAUCGAUGAAGAACGCAGCGAAAUGCGAUAAGUAGUGUGAAUUGCAGAAUUCAGUGAAUCAUCGAAUCUUUGAACGCACAUUGCGCCCCUUGGUAUUCCGUGGGGCAUGCCUGUUCGAGCGUCAUCU